ensembl:snRNA U1 U1 spliceosomal RNA
UAUUUUACCUGGCAAGGGACAUGCCGUGAUCAAGAAGGUGGUUCACCCAGGAGUCUCAGCCAUUGCACUUCGGCUGUGCUAACCUUACAUGUGGUAAUCUCAACUGCAUACAUUUAUGGGCAGUGGUGGCCUAGCGGUUAAGGAAGCGGCCCCGU